AUGCGGAUGGCAGAUCACUCACACCACGGGGAUGCCUGGGUGAUGGAGGAGGCGGUACCCGUCAGGGCUUCGAGGCUGCCGACCACCUUGAACUUCGACGGAUGCUCGCAGGCUUCGUGCCCUCGGGCCUCUCUGCGGCUGUUUCCUCCACGCAGGGGUCUUGAGAGGGGACUGCAGGAAGCAAUGCCUGUGAAACCAACUGCUUGGCGCAGAGAAGUCCUGAGUCUCAUCCUCACUGCCAGCCUCGUCACCACCAGCACCAAGGACCUAAGCUCUCCUAAGGCCGCGCCUUGCUGCUGCUGCCUGUAGACAUGAGGGUCUGAGCCCCGUGGGUCUCUGUUUCCAGAACUGGCCCUACCAGAUCCAACCCGGCCUCCGACUGGCGUUAUGCUCCCUUACAGCCCAGGGGCCAUUCUUGGAGGGUCCCCAAGGCCGGCCAUCUCCAGCCUGGGCCUGGCAGAGCUACAGUACCGGACAGAGCCUCCCGGGGAAGGGCUCCAUGCCCUCAUCCAAAGGCUUUUGUCUUUUUUAUCUUUUUGCUUUUUCAGGGCCACUCCCAUGGCAUAUGGAGGUUCCCCAGCUAGGGGUCGAAUCAGAGCUACAGUCGCUGGCCUCCACCACAGCCACAGCAACGCCAGAUCCGAGCCGCGUCUGCGACCAACACCACAGCUCACGACAAUGACAGAUCCUUAACCCACGGAGCGAGGCCAGGGAUCGAACCCACAACCUCAUGGUCCCAGUCGCAUUCACUUCUGCUGUGCCGAGACGGGAGCUCCAAAAGGCUUUUGUCUUUAAAACUCUGGUGUUGAUAGAAAAGCCACAAACUGCCCAACUUCAGGUCUUUCUCACUAAUCUCUGUGUCCUCAGAAUGGGCAUCUGGCUGGUAAGAAGCUCGGUGAGAAGGCUCCUCAUCUGAGCUCCCCAGCUUCUUAUACAAAAGCAGUUAUCGCAGGAAUUCCUUUAUCACAGGCCGCCCACAGAGUCUCGGCCUCAUCACCUUCUCUGGUCCAUAAAAGCCCUCAAGAAGCCUAACGGGCUAGCUGAUCUUGUGCAAUUAGCUUACCCACUCUGAUGCCGUGUCCUGACCUGUAAAAACGAAAGAGCCAGGCUGAACCAUCCCCUCCCGAACCCUCCAAUCCAGCUACAAGGGCAGUCUACAGGGAUCGGUGCAAAUGGCACAGCUUUUCUGUACUGCGCGUGCCCCAGACACCUGCGUUUCUGUCACCUCAGAUUGUCCUCAGCGACCCCGAGCAGCCGCUGUGUGAUGUCCAUUUGAUGCCGGAGGAAACUAAAGCUUAAAGGGGUUAAAGUGAUUCGGCCAAGACCAAGCAGGUGGAGACAGAGCUGAGACCUGAAGGAGCCCUGGGCAGGGUCGAAGCCCCAGAGCCUGGAAGGGAACGCGUCACAGCCGCAACCCCUUCCAGGCAGUGGGAACGGUGGCACCUUUCCCAUUUUAUGACUUUCAAGCGAAGGGCAACAGGCACGCCAAACCCGAACCUCAUGUGGCUCGACUCCUACCUACCCUGCCUUUUUACGGGCCUUGCCUCUCCCCGGGUUCGUGAAAGUUUGCUGUGCACACACUCUGGGCAAAGCCCAGAACCCUCCGGGCUCCGUGGAAAUGGCUACAGCAACGGGAGCCCAGGGGGCUGGGACACUUUGAGUCACUGCUUACAAAUGCUCAGCAGUAAAACCGUCAGCAUCCUCUCCCUCUGAUGAUGGGAGAACACGCUCUAGUCAGAGUCUGCAGCUGCGCCUCUCCAACCCCGGAGGGGAGGAGGGUCCCGUGGGCCCCAUCAGUAGCCGCUAGAGGUCCAUAGGUCUACAGUGGGCCAAGGAAUCUGCAUUUAGUAGGCUGCCCUGCAUGCCUCUGCUGCCAGAAACUACCCACUUCGCUGGCUGUUUAAUGAGCAUCUACUAGUGAUGGGAUGCCUGGAUCCACAGCUGCGGCCCCGCCCGCCUCCUACUCCGCACAGAUCCUUAGCGAGUUUUUGUUGACUGGGUGAGGGAGACAGGACUCGGGCCUUGUCCUCACUGCAGUUUCCUGCCAGCCACCCACUGCACGGUGACUCCCUGUCUGACCCAGGCCGGGGAGUCAGACACACACCCGUUUUCCACCUCUGCCUCGGAGGCAGGGACCCCAGCCAAGAGGAACUAAAAAUCACCUGCUUUGUAUUGUUAAUUCAGAAGGCAAACGCCACCGUCCCCUGAGCCGCAGCCCUCAGGACAGGGGAGGGGCAGUGGAGGGCCUGCCACCCCCCACCCGCCCCCCACUCCCGGCUUCCCCGGACAGGCCGAAGAAUGCGGCCACGGUCCCGCAACCCCUGGGCGGCAGAGCCAGGACUAGAAGCCAGGCUCAGGUGUCUUCUCCGGGCUGAGCCUGAGGAAGACAUCUUUUGGUUGUGACAGUUGCGGGUCUCAGAAUUGGGGACAGGUACUCCUGGCACCCGACCCUCCAUCAGCAGCCAGGCAUUUCUGUGCGUUAACCAGUGCCCUCUUUCCCGCAGGGCUACAGAUGAGCCCUCCGCUCAGUCUGGGGGAUGCACUUGGCAGAUCACGUUCCCGCUCAUGUGCUCCCAGUGACGCAAGGGCUUCCGAUCUGGCAGGUGAGGGCAUCAAACAGCCGCGCGGGCAGCUGUGACUGUUUCCGAUCGCCAGUACAACUAAGGGCAGAGUUUCAUUCACUCUCCUCAGCCUUGACAAUGACAUAAUGAGAGGGGGUGGGACGAGAAACCUGGGCUUUUCCUCACCUGCCCGCAGAGCAAUCUGAUGCCAGACCAGCAUGACGGAGAAACGGGCCCUCCUUAUGCCCAUUUGAUAGAUGGAGAAAUAAAGGCCCAGGGAUAUGAAUUCUUCUUCGUGGUUUUUUUUUUUUUUCAGAGAUGUGCAUUUUACCAGGUUAUUACUAUAUGUGUAAUUUAUGUUUAUAAAUUAAAUGUAUACAAUUUAAUUCAGACAGUUGCCUGAAUUAAAGAGCGACAUCUAAACGUAGCCUUCCCAUCAGGAAGGCGAGCAGGUGGCGAGAAUGCGGUUGCCUGUCACUGGGGAGUAGCCCUUAGCUCCUUUCCUUUCUGGCUUGGAGACCUUGCCAAGCACCGUCCUCUCCUUCCUACCCGACCUAGAGUUUGGGUGGAUCAAGUGCAUUUGCAAAGGGCUUUGAACGUUGCAUUCACUAUCCGAAGUCAACAAUGCUCCUUCUGGAAAUUUAUCCUGAGGGUCUGAUUCAAAAAAUGAGACUGCUACAGUAGGACGUUGGUGUAGAUGGACAGAUGGACAGACGGCUGGACUCAAUAAAGACCUUUAGGACGUGCCGGGCGCCAGGCACUGUGCUACAGGCCCUCAGAUGGAUCCUGUGGUCCAGCCUCUGCGCUCGUGUAACUCGCAGCUCUGAUCGCCACACCAUGCAGGCGAGAGACGAGUCAACGUGCAGUUUGCUAGCGUGUCGCAAGCUCUUUAAUGGAGGAAGAUGGGGGCUGAAGACGAGGUGAAGCUGGGAUUAGCACCCUGGGGAGAGGCGGCAUCCCGAGCUGAGACAGCGAAGGUGCAGGAGAGAUCUGGAAGCCUGGGCCAAAGCAGAGCGGUGAUCAACAGGCUUUGGUCCUAGGUAGGAACUGGUGGGGGACUAGAGGGAAGGGUCGGGACCCCCAGGUCCUGGCUCUACGGAUGGAUGAUGGGGCCUGAGGAGGGCAGUUUAGGGGGACGUCUCCGAAGGAGGGCUCUCCGAUGACUGUGACGUCCAAGGAGAGACACACAGGGGAGCACACGGGUGCCAAGCAGAAAACUGGCAAGAACCUCAACAUCAAGUAAGAGAGACAGUUGAGCUGCAUUCCUAGUCACAGCCGGAGACCAAGGCUCACCCACUGCAAAGAGAACCGUGCCCAAGCGUGUCCCCUGCAGGACUGGUCAUUAGAGGUUGCUGGGAAAUGAGAUCCCACAUGGAAUAUUAGACAACAGUGAAAAUCCUCAAAAUCUGCACGAAUCCACCCGGAGGAAUCACCAAGGCAGUGAGACAAGCAAGCAGCCUAAGGAUAUAUACAGCAUUAGGCCGUUUAUGUAAGAUUUUAGAUCUGCAAAAUACACGGAGUUGAAGUAAAAGCAUAAACAUGGGACACUGAAGGCCGCCAUCGUUUUAGGAAAGGGGGACCCAGGGCUGGCUUCAUGGCUGUGCCCCUCACCCAGGCAGUCAUACUGGGCCCUGGCCAUGGCUGAAUGCUUUGCUGGGGCCAUCUUGAAAUUCAUAAUGUUUUGGGUUUUUGUCUUUUUAGGGCCACAGCCACAGCAUAUGGAGGUUCCCAGGCUAGGGGUCGAUCGGAGCUGUAGCUGCCGGCCUACACCACGGCCACAACAACGCCAGAUCUGAGCCACGUCUGCGACCUACACCGCAGCUCACGGCAGCGCCGGAUCCUUAACCCACUGAGUGAGGCCAGGAUCGAACCCGCAACCUCAUGGUUCCUAGACGGAUUCGUUAACCACUGCACCACAGGGGAAACUCCCUCAAAACUCUUUUUAAAUUAUCAAUAUGUGUUAUAUCGAUGUGGUGUAGUGUUCCUUGUGCUUUUCUAUAUGUUGGAAAUCGUUUAUAAUAUAGAAACAGUAAAGGUGUAGUUAUAUAAAAAAGUGGCUUCUUUACUUGAAAUACUCUGCAGAGGACAGAAAGCUAUACGGAAAAUGUGUAAAAAGCACGCAUGACAUUAAAUGAAACAGGAUGAUAAAAUGUUUACAAGACUGUUACAGUUCCACACAUAAAUGACGUGUCAAGUAGUUUGUGAGUGUGACAUAAGGAGUGUGAACAAGUGAAACAUGAUUAGGAAGGCAGAAACAAUCCCUUUACUAUUUUCAUCGGUGUUAUGAUUUUGUUUUUACAAUGAGUAAAAUGUAAGUUUCUGUCUGCUUUCUAUACUAACAAUCAGCGCCUCCGAUAAACUAUGUUGCUGGGUGUGAACUGUAUCAUUUAAGUAACAAAUGUGCACCGGAGCGGGGAUAGUUUGUUCUUCCUUAACAGCCGCAGGUGCAGCAAACGGAAGUCCCUGGAGCUGCAGCUGAGGCCCACGCCACAGCCACUGCCACUGCCACACCAGGUCUGAGCAGAUGUGCGACCUACGCCGCAGGUUGCGGCAACGCCAGAUCCUUAACCCACUGGGCGAGGCCAGGGAUCGAACCUGCAUCCUCACUGACGCUAUGCCAGGUCCUGAACCAGCUGAGCCACAAUGGGAACUCUGUAAGAGGGACAUUUUAAAGACUCAAGAUCUCCGUAUAAAAGAGUAGCUACGAUGGAAUUGUUUGGGGAACCCUCCCUAAAAUGAGCUGUGAACUGGAAGUCCGGCUGGAGUCCCACCUGGGCACUAAGCUCAGAUUUGGCCAAACCUCUUCUCCACUCUGAGACUCGGAUUCCCGGUCUCACCACGAAGGGCCUGCACAGGAGCAGCCACCCUGACAGGCCUGGCGUGGGCGUCUCCUCGGGGCCUCCGCACUGACUGUGACGCUCUGGUCCCCUCGCCCGUUUCCAGGAGACGGCACCUGGGCCCUGCGUAGUCUGGCCGCAGAGGCGGCUGGCGUCAGGACACCGAGAGGAGAACCCGGGUCAGCAGGGCACCCCGGGAGCACUUGACACGGGCUGGAAUCUCCUUGGCUCCUGCAGCAGCAGAAACUGCAGAGUCCCAGGCAAAGGGCCCGGACCGUGGGCCCAGCCUCACGGGUGCAGCCCCGCUCUCUUCAGCUGCCCCACAAAUACUGACAGACCCCGCGAAAGGAGAAAAACACAUCGAAAGGGGAUAGCCCACCUUCUGCGGAGUUAUUUUUUCAUUAUAAAUUAUUUUAAAUUACACAAGUGACACAUAAUUAUUAUAUCCUUGUAUGAAAAAGGGAAAAAAUGCAAAAGAAGGAGAAGCCUCUCCAAGCACCUGCGCCCAACUAACUACCACUCCCUCCCACACGCACAUGCGUGAGUGUUCCACCAGUGGCCUGGAGGAAAAGAAAAAGUUGUUUUCUUUGAUUUAUAUACUCAUUAUAAAACCCACAAACUCUCAGAGCUCCCUGGCGGCCUAGUGGUUAAGGGUCCAGCAUUGUCAUUGCUGUGGCUCAGGUCACUACUGUGACAUGGGUUGGAUCCCUGGCCUGGGAACAGCGGUGGGCAUGGCCCAAAAAACUCCAAAAACGUACAAACACUCAAAGUUUCAUUUGAGACUUUGAAACAAAAAAUGGAAUCUUACAGAGUACCCUUGUGGCACAGUGGGUUAAGGAUCUGGCCUUGUCUCUGCGGUGGGGUGGGUUAGACCCUUGGCCUGGGAACUUUCGCAUGCCAUGGGCACAGCAAAAAAAAAUAAAAUAAAAA
rnacentral:tRNA from 1 species